rnacentral:rRNA from 1 species
AUACGGAGGGUGCGAGCGUUAAUCGGAAUUACUGGGCGUAAAGCGCGCGUAGGCGGCUUGUUAAGUCGGAUGUGAAAGCCCCGGGCUCAACCUGGGAAUUGCAUUCGAUACUGGCAGGCUAGAGUAUGGUAGAGGGAAGCGGAAUUCCGGGUGUAGCGGUGAAAUGCGUAGAUAUCCGGAGGAACACCAGUGGCGAAGGCGGCUUUCUGGACCAAUACUGACGCUGAGGUGCGAAAGCGUGGGGAGCAAACAGGAUUAGAAACCCCAGUAGUCC